UCGCGCUAAGUGGGGAUGUAGCGGCGCCCUGUACCUGCAAUCCGCUAUAGCAGGGCCGAAUUCCGGCCCGCGGCGCGCUCUUGUGCAAAACGACGAUGCGCGACGGCGUUGAUCGCCGGGGCCUGCGCAAUGGAGCGACGUUGAACCCCGCCAGGUCCGGAAGGAAGCAACGGUAAGGCGUAUGCCCCAUGUGCCGCAGUUACCCCGGAAGGAGUCGCACGCGACCGUACGCUGCGGAAGGGUUCGUCAACGGUCGGUGCGCGA
rnacentral:SRP_RNA from 1 species